UCAGUGCCAUCCAACACACGAAAGCACGUUUUUAAAUCAUCAAACUGGCCGCGGGACAGGCGGAAGUACUGCUGACAGCGGCCGUCAUCCAGGCGCAGCUCAUGGAGCGAGCAAAUGGUGAAACUAGCCAAACGGAUUACCUCUAAAGGGUCCGGUGGACACAAAUACGGCGACGAUGAUCCCCACGCCGCUGUUCUAGCUCUCCAGAGCAAAUACAGUGUGGUGAAUCUCUCGAUGAAUGCUCGAUCAACAUAAACAAAGAUGGUGAAUCUGGGAUGCUAGCAUUGCUAUGAUUUCAUUUUGAAUAUCUUUGCCUAAAUAGUGAACGUGUGUUUCUUUUGAACUCACUCUCCUAAUGUGUUCAGCCAUAACGCUGUCAAAAAGACCUAUCAUCUCCACUAGUUUCAGGAAAGUGCAAUUGUUAUGCUCAAAUAAUCUAUCUGUGCUACCACGGAAUGGCAUGUUUUGCAUAGCCAUUACUCUGAUGAGACUAAUCAACCGCUGCAACACACUUUGCCAGUGUAUUGUCUCGGCAGUUUCCGCUGAUUUUGUUCAUCUAUGGUGUUUUGCGAGACCAAUCUUAUGUCCAACUCUUUCCAUUUAUGAAAACUUUCAAUAUGUUCAGUUGAUUUUUCAUGGUUGCUAAGGAUGCUUGACACAUUCUUCCAGUCUUUAACACCAUCUCUUCCAAGAGCUGAUUUUCUAAAAAGUUUACAGCAGAAACAAAACGUAACAUCCAUACUCACUGAAUAAACUAGUCAGGGCCUUUACAGCUUUUCUCCAUUUGUCAAUGUCCAUCUGUAAUGACACUCAGAAAACUUUAUGUGUGCACUGUCUCUGGGAAAAUCAAUUCCUUUCACUUGAUAUGGUCCUCUCUCAAUUAAAAUGUCCUUGGGUUACUGUUGUUGGCCAAUUACUGGGAUCAUUAAAAUUAUCCGGCAUUGCGGGGCGGCGGCAGCUCAGUAAAUCAUAUAAAUAACCUAUUUUGUGAAUUGUUGAUUCCCGGUUGGCUCACAUUUUGCCACCCUUACAAAAGUGCCGCUCUAGGCAAUUGCCUAGUUCACCUAUAUGGACGCGCCGGCCCUGGCAGUGAGCUGGACAGUGAUGUAAUGUUCCUGGCAGCAAAGUUUACUCCACAAAGAAAAGUGGUCCAGGAUAUGUGUGAAAAUGAGGAUGUUCAUGAUGCAAUUUCCAAAACUGAAACAUGCAGGAAGACCUUACAAACACUUCUGGCGACUUUACGAAGAAACAGGGAGACGUUUGAACAGGCAACCCAUGGGCUUGUGUCACGAUUUGUAGAUCCUCCUAGGUCUCCUCCUUGUCAUGUGCUUUUGUCGUGUUUUGAAUCGUUGUUUGUUGGUGUCUGGUGUUUGAUCCCUCUACGUUCCAGUUUACUCCUUCGUUGUUCCUGUGGAUGUUCUGGAUUUGUCACGUUUGAUCAUCACUUCCUGCACCUGUUUCAUAUGACCAUCAGAGUCCCUGCGCCGGUAGCCUGUCCUCCCUGGACUGUUACAUUUACUAUCUGAUAAAUUGAGUUAACUUGCACUUGCUUCCGAACUUUAUUCGUUACAGCUUGGGCCUGGUUUAAUGGUGGGCACAUUUGAGUUCAUUGACUCGUGCCUUAAAAAAUUAAAACGCUUAAAUCCUCUACGAAAGAUGUGAACUAGUUAAGGUACAGCUUUUUAAUAAUAAUACCUUUCUGUGGUAAUAAUAUGAUGCUGUGUUUCAUAGAUACCUAUAAUCCACUUUAUUUUAUUUUUUCAAUUGUUUUGUAAUUCAAUUUUGUUCCUUAAUGCAAAGUAAAGUAUUCAAUAUUACAGCAAAAGAUAAUCUGUAUAAAACAUAAAUGUGCUAGAGAAUUUCAAACCUAC